ACAAAACUAUUGUGGUGGGAUAC
rnacentral:siRNA from 1 species